CCCGGGGCAGGGCCGGAGCCGGGCCGGGGUCCGUCCGGAGCUGCGGCCGCGCCGCCCCCGGGGCUGCGGCUCUGCCCGCACCGCCGCCGAGCCAUGGGCAGCCCCGGAGCCAAGCGAGGAGCUGAGCCUGGCUGUGCUGGAUGCUUUGCUACUUAAACAUUCCUGGGUUUGGAUGCCACAGCAGACCCAGAUGUCGGUGCAGCCCUGGACCUGCAGAACGGUGAGUGCUCCCUAGGCUUGAGUAGGGUGAGGCAGGGUCAGCAGCAUCACUGCCCUUGCACCCUGUGGGGUUUGUACACUUGGAUGCUUGAAACCCAGCUCAUUU
rnacentral:lncRNA from 14 species